GGCUGGUCCGAGUGCAGUGUGGGGCUUACAACUAAUUGAUCACAACCAGUUACAGAUUCCUUUGUUCCUUCUCCACUCCCACUGCUUCACUAGACCGGUCUUUU
ensembl:misc_RNA Y_RNA Y RNA